UUAAGAAAGUAUCAAUGAAGAUUUCUGGCAUGUAAAAUUAAAAAAAAUUAUUUUGUUAUAACCAGUUCAAAAGAUGCCAUUAUUUCAACCAUCUGUUGUGCUGUAAAUAUGUCCUUGUUUUAUAGCAGUAACCACUAAAUUAGCAUUGAGUAAAAUGAGUACCUUACUUGUGAUAUCUAGAGAUACCAUUGUAUUACAUAAUAUAUGCAAAGUUUUAAAAAUGCACUGUAAGUGUGUUUUCCUCCCCCUUCCCUUUUCCUCUAUCACCAUACCAAGGAAUCCAAAGAGAUUCCCUAGGCCAGAAUACUCCCUCAGUGUGUACAGUUAUUAUCGCUAUUAAACAGUGAGAUAACUGAAGUCCUGGACAAUUAAGUGAGACAUAAUGUCAAGUAACCUGUGCCUUUUAGUUUGGGUUUUCUACUGUAAUACUUUAUAUCAUGACCUCAUUUAACAUAAACAUAUCUACUUAAUGACACACUAAAUUAACCAAUAGUCUCCACUGUCUCCGUAAAGCAAGCCACUGCUCAGGGAAUACUCAAGAUAAAAUGUUAGCAGGCUACUUUGUUGUUGUCCCACUCAUCUAUGGAGAUGAAAGUUUAACAGGAGUAGUUUGUAUUUGUUAUAAUAUCAGUUCAUAGUAUUUUCACAUAUUCUGAUAAUUGCAUAAUUUAACCAAUAUUUUAGAAGCAAUUAAAACUAGAGAGAAAGAGUGGAAAACUUUGGAAUGCUUUGGUAUGAUUUCAUAAAGGUGACACAUGAUUUUUUAAAACUUUCUAGUUAACUGUAGGGGAAGCAGUGUUAAAACCUUGUAAGUAAGUAAUCUGAAAAAAAAAAAAAAACCUACAAAUGUAACUAAAAUCCAGGUUAUCUCCUAAGUAUCUGAGUUAUUUUUCUAAUUAGAAAAUUGAUCACUGCUGGCAAGAUGGCUGAAUAGGAAGAGCUCCAGUGUGCAACUCCCAGCAAGAGCGAUGCAGAAGAAAGAUAGAACAUGUUCUGCUGGCUUAGCAACUAUUGAGAGUUUGUGCAUAGGGAAAAAUAUCACACACACACAGACACACACACACACACACUCACAAAGAUAAUUUUCAUCACUGAAACUGCACAUUUAUAGAUGGGAAGGUAAGGAGAUGUGGGGCAGGGGACUAAAAUCCAGGCCUGAUGCUUGUUUCCUUUUGUGUUCUCCAAAGACAAAGACAUUGUUUUGACUAAGAAUAAAUAAAUGAAAGGCAGGGAGUAGUGUGACAUAUUUGGGAGUUUUCUUUAAAUGCGAGUUUGCCGUCCCCAGCUGUCAGGAAUGGUAUUAAUCUGGUGAAAGAACUCUUCAUGCUAUGGCUAUUUACUUAACAUUGCUAUUUACAAACAUCAUCAUGGAGCUGCCAGAUAGAGGAAGGCAGAUUCACAGACUACCUAGUGGCAGCAAUUUCCAGGGAAGAUCAUAUGUGUUCUGUCAAAAUAUAUUCCCUUACCAGAGCUUUUGGAGACUCAAGCUAGUCAAAACUAAUUGGGAAAUAUUUAGUAGGACAAGAAAUUGAAAAUAACCAUUUUGAUAGGACAUUCUUGAAAGAAUGGGUUAUAGUCUGUAUUUAAGAGUGUGCUAUUUUAGUUGGAAUUUCACAUCUCAUAGCCCAAGUCCUUUCAUUAAGCACAUCCCUAUAAGUCUUACCCUUUAUGCAUAAAACUUUAUUUUGUUUACUUAUUCACUACUAUGUGUUCUACAGCAAAAAAAAAGUUAUUAACACGAGUGCAAAACUUGUUAAUGUGCCACAGGGAUAAAUUAUGGUAAAUUCUUUGUAAAAGGAUAAAAGUGAUAUAAUGUAGGGUUAAGGAUGUUCCACUGAGAGACAGGAAACCUGCUUUCCUCUCUUGAUUAAUCUGUUGGGCAACCACUGGAAAUUAUAAACAUCCCUGCACUCAAAGGUUCUUAUUUGUAGAAUGAUGAAAUUGGAUGAGAUCUUGCCUAGUGUACCUUAUAUUCUCUAGUGUAUCAUUAUAUUCCAGCAAUUACGACAAAACUUCUACAUUGUAACCACAAUGAUGAGCAUUAUUCUGUUUCAUCCAAAUAAACGGCAUUGUCCUGGUUGAUUCUCAUCACACCCUUGCAAGGUAGGUAUCAUCAUCCCUAUGUCACUAAGAGCCAAGGCUUUGAGAGAAUAAAGAGAGUGCUAAACACAGUCUGCAAGUUGCUGGGCAGGUCCUCUGUAUUCUAAUUAGUGUAUAUGCUCUUCACCUGGACCAAAACUUUAUUGAUGGGCACAGCUAUGUGUUGUUAUCAAAGUUGUCCCUCUAGAAUGCUGGAUUUCAAAUACCUAAGAGAUGGGCAAACUGUAUGAAUAUAUCUAGGUGUUGGAGUACAAGUUGAUUGUCAGCCAUUUCCCUGAGCUCCCAGACCUUUUUAGUUGUUGCCUUACACACACUCCCUCACCAACAAAUGAUCCAUUCAGCAACUAAGGGAGAAUGGUUAACACAAUCUUCUAGGACUUUAUCCAGCUUUAGGUCCAGUCUUUAUAAACAGUCAUGGUGCCACUUUCCAAAUGCAAUAACAGACAUAUAUACAGGGAGUCUCAUCCAUAAGGCAGGCUGAGAAAAGAUGCAGCCAGUGUCCACACAGCCCUUUCACAGUUUUAUUGCCAAUGAAAAAAGUAAAUGUGGCACAGCAGGGCUAUAGACAACAGCAUUUUCUGGCUUAAACGUCUGUAGAGUAAGCUCUUUAUGAAUUGCUUCUUGAGAUUUAACAUUCUCAAGAUUUAACAUUCUUCUUGAUUUCUACUCGGGUCUCUGAGAUCAGAGACAUUAUGAUGGUGUUAAGCUCCUGGGAAGAAGAAUUUGGCAGAGCAGUGGGCUGUUUCUAAGUUCCUGACUUAGUCUUUCUAAAAAUGACAAAGGAUUACCAUAUAUGGUCAGUGGCGAAAUGGCCAAAUGGUCUCUGAUAGGCUUUCUCUAAUGGCCCGUAAAAGUCACUUGAUGGUUGUUGCUACAAAGGCAAAUAUUUUCUUAACUUAUAACUAAGGCCUAUAUUCCAAUGACUGGUGCCUACUGCCUAAUUCAGGGAGCUCUAAUGCAGCCUUUGAACAUAACAGCUCCACAGGUUAAAUGAAAACUGAUUUCUCUACAAGUCCAUCUUGAACUAAACUGUUCCCCUUCCUUAUUCAAGUUAGAAUCAGUGUUGCAGUUUGGUGGUCUUAUAAAAAAAGUAAAUUGUGCUUUAUGUUUUUUCUGUGUUAAGUGAGAAGUACCUUGACAUUUCUGUCAGCUUUCUUUCAAACACGAUAUUGCUUCAGAUUUUGUAUAUGUACAAACAGAUUCGUCCACAUGGGUCUUAGUGAGUGUGUUUGUUUUUCAGUUGCUUGUAGUAGCUGAGCAUAAGUGGAUAUACUGUAUUUUCUCUGUAAACUAUCUAAGGGAGAUCUCUCUGAAGAAUGGCACUGGGUAUUUCUGUGGGUAGCGGCAGAUUCCUGAAAGAAAGAACUUUGAUUUUAUAUAAGAAAUCUGUUCCCUGAGAGCACAUUGCAGAUGAUUCUGCAUCCACUCACUGCUUAAUGAAUACAGACUGGCAGAAUUUCCUCAGGGACAGUUGGGCAUAACAAUUUGGCUGCUUCUAAAGCCCAUAUUUCUUUGUGACACUCUAAAGGAACAGUUGAACUUCAGUGAACCAGGGGCUUCAUUCUUCACUGUUCGGGCAGUUUCUCUAAAUUGUUUGGUACUGUCAAUUGAGUUGGAAAAGUACAUGCCUGACUGCUGGUGAGUUUUAUUGAACUGAGUGAUCCUGGCAUUUGUAUUAGGAUUUGGAAGUUGCAUGCUCCUUGUGAAGAUGAGUUUCAAAGUGCUCCUGUGCUACUUUUACAGUAUAGAUUCAGAAAACAUCUCCUGUUUUUAUUCUUUCUUAAUGCUCACUACCAUUUAUGAGUCAAGUGAUUCCUCUGAAAAAUAUUACUCAGUAAAUCUUCAUAUUUUUAAAGCUUUUUCACUGGACAAUUGUCAAAAAUCUGCAAAAUGAUGAAAUCACCCCAACAUUUGACAACUCAGAGGUUCUAGUUAUGUUCUUGGAAUUCAACAACCAGAAAGACUGUGUCUCUUUUUGCUAGAUGGACCCUUUCAGAAUCGAUUGAGAUCACCAUAUCCUUACUUUGUUAUAUAAGGGAAAUUUGACUACUAUAGACUAUGAGCAUGAUGUAUAAACCAUCAUGAAAAUAGACACUGAAGCCAAAAUUCUGAUGCCAAUUUAAGUUGAUUUACUCUUUCUUCAUAGAGCCCCUUCAAUUUUAAUCAUGUGAAUAAAGUUCAGAAAUAUUAACCACAAGUUAAGGUGGUAGCAUCUUUUUCAUGUUUCUUUUCAUGUCAAAACAGAUAUCAUGUCUAGGAGGCAAGAAUUCUCAUAUUUAACUGAGGAUUCUCAAUAAUACUAUAAUAUGUCACCCUCUACAAAGCAUUUCAAUAUGCAUUAUCUCCCUUGAUCUUUAUAACAAUGUUUCAAGCAAUAAAUUCUAUGGGAAUAUGAUUUUGUUUGGUAGAUUCAGUUCCAAAGUGCCCAAUGAAAGUUAGAAUUUGAGUUUAAUCUAGAGAGAGGAAGCAUAAACUCUGCAUAUGUAUUCUCUGUAGGAAGAUAGCAUCUCUCUACAUCCCAGGGGUGUAGCCCCAGAUACAAUUCAGGUAUUUAGAGUAUGCCUUGUCAUGCCCUUUUACCCUUACUCCUUAUGGACAUGCCAUGACUUUAUCUUUUACUACCAUGAUCACCACUCCCGGGGCCUCUUUUCAAAUGGCUCAACAAGAAGGCAGAGGGGGUAGGAUGGGGCACUACCUAAAUUUGGAGUCUAGAGACUUAAAUUCUAAGCCCAAUUUUGAGAUAGUUUGACGUCUGACUAACAUCAUCUGUUAAAUGACAAGGAAGGUGGAUGACAAGAUGAUCCUUUGAGUUUGGAUUAUUAUCCCAAAAAACACAAUCCCAGAUUCCAAAAUCCACAAUGUUAAAAUCCUGAAAGAUCGGUAUCCUUAAAGUCUAAAUUCCUAAAGUCUACAAUUCCUAACAUCUAAAAUCCUGAAAAAUCACAAUCACAAAUUGGUUGCACCAUGUUGGCCAGGCUGGUCUCACACUCCUGACCUCAAAUCCACACACCUUGGCCUUCUCUUACUGUCUUUAUGCUGAAGAAAAUGAAUUUCAGAUGAAUCCCCAAACCAUAAUGACAGAUUUGGAAUUAGGUGUAAUUAAGGUUUCUAAAAAUAAAUUUCAAGGUGUUUCCAAUAGUUUGUUUUUUUCCAUUCACCCCAAUGUAUUUGACAGAAAAUUAAGAUGAAUCAAUUGGCCAUGAGGUAAGGCAAUGAAGAAAACUUCAGUUUGAAAAUAGUUUGACAAUAACUGGGAAGACUUUUUAAAAAUAACAAUGGAAUUGGUAUAGUUGGGAUUGCAAAUUAAAACUUGGAAUUAAGAGAGAAGAUGGAGUGUAUGUAGAAGGGCUGUUAAAAAUGUAAAACUUGGUUGCAUUAUUUGUGGAGGCUCAAACUUGUGAAGGUUAAAUACCAUAAUUUUUCCAUUUGUUCUGCAUUUUGAUUCUGAAAAGAAAGCUGGCUUUGCCCAUUUCUUAUUUUAAAAACUUGUUGUAAAUCCAGUUGUCUAAUGGGAUCUAUAUGAAGUUAGCCAUGUCUGUAUGCCCUUCUCUCACAAAAUACCGUAUAACUAGUGUGCUUGUAGUAGUUAACUCCACUGUCUUUGUAAGCUAAUGAAAUUGUGAGUCACCCAUUUAUAUCUUAAUUUUUAAUCAUGUCAGUUCUUGAAUGGGUAUCUCCUUAGCCUGCUGAUUUCUUUUUCUUUCUAAAGAAAG